UAAUUUGAGAGUUUGAUCCUGGCUCAGGACGAACGCUGGCGGCGUGCCUAAUACAUGCAAGUCGAACGAACUCUGGUAUUGAUUGA
rnacentral:rRNA from 1 species